ensembl:rRNA 5S_rRNA 5S ribosomal RNA
ACUAUCUAUGGCCAUACCACCCUGAACAUGCCCAAUUUCAUCUGAUCUCAGAAGCUAAGCAGGGUUAGGCCUGGUUAGUAUUUGAAGGGGAGUGUUCAAGUGGACCAAGAAUAGACAGUA